AGGUGAGGACGCCUGGAAUGGUCUCUCACCCAAAGGACGUUGAAGCCAUGCUUUUCGGCGUUGCCUAAGGAUGGAGCCGCGGCCGAUCAGGUUGUUGGUGAGGUAAUGGCUCACCAAGCCUAUAACCGGUACGGGCCAUGAGAGUGGGAGCCCGGAGAUGGGCACUGAGACAAGGGCCCAGGCCCUACGGGGCGCAGCAGUUGCCAAACCUCCACAAUGCACUAAAGUGUGAUGGGGCUAACCCGAGUGCCGUCCGCUGAGGAGGGCUUUUCUUCGCUGUAAGGAGGCGGAGGAAUAAGGAGAGGGCAAGACUGGUGUCAGCCGCCGCUGUAAUACCAGCUCUCCGAGUGGUAGGGACGAUUAUUGGGCCC
rnacentral:rRNA from 1 species